ACAGCAGUGCCUGCAGCAACGUCUCCGUCAGCCGAGCAGGGUGACUGCUCCGCCUGAAAGCGGAAGGUCGGCAGUUCGACCCUGCCCCUGACCACCA
rnacentral:tRNA from 1 species